rnacentral:lncRNA from 1 species
GCCGUUUUAUAGGAUUUGGGUAGGUAAAGGAAAAAGGGGGGUUGUUCUCUGGCGGGCAGGAGUGGGGGGUCACAAGGUACUCAGUGGGGGAGCUUUUGAGCCAGGAUGAGCCAGGAGAAGGAAUUUCACAAGACAAUGUCAUCAGUAAAGGCAGGAACAGGCCAUUUUCACUUCUUUUGUGGUGGAAUGUCAUCAGUUAAGGCUGGAACCAGCCAUCUGGAUGUGUACAUGCAGGUCACCGGGGAUAUGAUGGCAUAGCUUGGGCUCAGAGGCCUGACAGUUUCUGAAUAGUGGGUUGGGGAUUUCAGACUCUCAAAACACAAGAACAUUGUAAGAAAAUUUGACAUUUAAAACUUAUUAAGCCUCACUUUGUUACUUUUAUUUUUUAAAAGAUGUUGAUGGAUUAUAGAAUUAGUGAUGUUUAAUCCAGUUGAGUUUUGGAGUCAGCCAGUCUCGAGUUAAAUCCCAUCCCUGCUACUUCACUAUUUGAGCAAACAACUUAAUCUGUCUCCAAUGCACCCCUCCCCUCUUCCACCUACAAAAUGGCAUAAUCAUAGGGCUGUUUUUGGGGAUUCUAGGAAAUGUAGGUUACAGUGACUGGUAUACCAUAAGUGCUCGACAAAUUGUCCUUAUUACUCUUUCCUUAAACAAACACAAACCCCUGCUCAAGUGAAAUGUUUAUUUUCUCCAUCUUUGUAAUUCCAAGUCAAAGUCUAUGGUAGAGUUGUUGGAAGAGAAUCUCAAAUAAUUAACUGGGUCUAAAAUAAUCCUGGCUUUUUUCUAGAAUCUUUUUUUUUUUUUUUUGGCUUAAAAAUGUCAACCUAAAAUAUUCUCUUUUUCUUCAAUAUCUACACAAUAAACCAAUCACAAUGAACCACCAGGCAGAGGGCAUGGCGUUGAGCUGGUUUGCUCCUAUUCUUGGGUAUGGUCCUCCAGGGCUUCCCAUCUGAGCCUCAGGUAUCUGUAACUACCUCAGUGGAUUCCUACUGAUGAGAGGUUUUCAGCUAAGCUCUUCAGGUUCCUGCUCCACACAGCUCCCAAAAUCUGGCAAAAGUCAUGAAUCACAGACUAGAUAUGUAUGUAUUUGAAGUGGAGAUUCCCUUUAAAAGGUACAAGCAGGUUACAUGUAAACCUGGAUUGUCAUGCAAAUUCUUGAUGGUGACAGAGAUAUAGUACCUCCUGUGCAGCUGAUUUGAGGCCACGACUCAAUUCUAGCAAGGAAAGACAAUACUUCUGGUCCAAGGCAUUUAAGAACUAGGAUGUCCCCUCCUUUCCUGCCUUCCUCUCCUGUAACUACAGAUUGAUGUGACUAGAACCAUAAGAUGCAAGCAGCCUGGAUGCCCCAGCCACCACCUGGAGAAGAGAGCUGUCUUGUAAAGUUGCCUAGGAGUUACCAAGCUCAGUGUGGAUUUUGCAUAAUUGAGAAACAAACCUUUUGGGGGGGUUAAUUUGUUACUAUAGCUUAUCCUGUUUUCAUUUCACACUAAGAUGUGGGGUGCGGGGGGGCAGGGACCAUGAAGAUUUCAUAGUUUUGGAAAAAACAAUGAAACAAGAACACCUAACAACACGUUCAUGAUGCAGUCUAGGGAAGUAGCUGAGAAAGGUACGUGGAGAGAAAGUUCCCAUGUUUGGCUUUUUGUCAAUUAAACAGUAUUUACUAAAAUUUAUUAAAUAACUUGUAUAUGGUACAAUAUUAGUCUAUCAGAAAAGGGUAAACGGACACAGAAUAGUCAUUUUUUGUAGAGACACAGUCUCCCUAUAUUGCCCAGGCUGGUGUUAAACUCCUGGGCUCAAGCGAUCCUCCCACCAGCCUUCCAAAGUGCUGGGAUUGCAGGCACGUGAGCCACCUCGCCCAGGCCGGAAGAGUAAUUGUAACCUACGUAUAUUUCUUGUAGAGACCAGGAUCAGGCUUUAAUUUUAAAUUGUGUGGUAAUGGCAAACUACUACAGCUGUCAAUGUUUCCAACAUGAUCUUAUUCAACUCAGUGACCCAAUGAAGGAAACAGUUCUAGUGCCAAGAUGGUUGAUUUGUGAGAGGAGCUUUUUGAAGUGUUUAUAUUACAAGUUCAAAACAAGUCACUUUGCCACUUUUAUUUUGCAGUGCCAGGCCAAUAAAUGGGGGAAUGUUGUUCUUCUAACUAACGUGGCAGUGAGAACUCUGCUUUUCCAAAUUUUAUCUCUGAAUAUAGUUUUUUACAGAGAUGUGGGGAGGAGUAAACUUUAUACAAUGAAUUUCCGUGGUGGAACAGCGGUCCCCAACCUUUGUGGUGCCAGGGACUGGUUUCAUGGAAGACAAUUUGUGGAAGACAGUUUUUCCUCGGAUGGGAGUUGAGGGCAUGGUUUCAGGAUGAAACUGUUCCACCUCAGAUCAUCAGGCAUUAGAUUCUUAUAAGGAGCGCCCAGCCUUCGAUCCCUUGAAUGAGCAGUUCACAGUAGGGUUUGUGCUCCUGAGACCCUAAUGCCGCCUCUGAUCUGACAGGCGAUGAUGCUCAGGCAGUAAUGCUUACUCAACAGCCCAUCACCUCUUGCUGUGCAGCCAGUUUGCUAACAAGCCACAGACCAGUACCAGUCUGUGGCUUGGGGUUUGGGGACCCUUGCUGCAGAACAUGAAACUUGGCUUAAGCAAUUUCCAUGGUCAUUAGUGGAAUGAAUAUCUUCCAUAUCUGCCACUGGAAAGUCUAUCACUUUUUCUAAGUCUUGGUCACAAAUAUGCCAAUUUACAAUUAAGGGUUACUACUUUCCUUAUUGUGUAAUUUUUUAAAAAUCAGCAAAGAAACAUCUUAAACUGCACUUUAGCAUAGCUUCAGUCCCCUAAAGGUUAUUUCGUUCCCCCAAACUACAAAGCACAUAUUGUUUUAGUCAAAUGUAAGGGUAUGUUUGAAUACUAAAAUGCUAUCGACAUACGACAAAUAACCCUACUCAUGUUGCUUAAGUGUACUUAAAGUUUCUCAUCUUACACAAACUUUGUUGGUAUAUGGCUAAUUCUGCAUCUAGAAUAAUGCAUGAUCUCAUUCUUUCAAGCUGAAUUUCUUUUAAAGCUUUUUCACUAAAAGCUGUAUACACACGUCUUUACUUCUGGGAAGGAAGCUCACAGAAAUUAAACUUUAAAAAUAUUUCUACUAUGGCCGGAUGCAGUGGCUCACACCUGUAAUCCCAGCACUUUGGGAGGCCGAAGUGAGUGGAUCACGAGGUCAGAAGUUCAAGACCAGCCUGGCCAAGAUGGUGAAACCCCAAUCUCUACUAAAAAUACAAAAAUUAGCUGGACGUGGUGGCGCAUAUCUGUAAUCCCAGCUACUUGGGAGGCUGAGGCAGGAGAAUCACUUGAACCCAGGGGGCGGAGGUUGCAGUGAGCUGAGAUCAUGCCAUUGCACUCCAGCGAAACUCCAUCUUAAAAAAAAAAAAAAAAAAUAUAUAUAUAUAUAUAUAUUCAUUCAUUCCUACUAAUGAAGUUAAAAUUCAUUGUCAAAGUGAAAUAUCAAUAAAUUUUGUUAUAUUAGUUCAGAAACCACAAUAGUGUUAAUUUUCAUAGUGGUUUCAACAUAACCACUCUUGAGAUCUAAACAGCAUCCCAAAAGUGAUGAAAACACAGACCAGUUGGGACUCCAACCUGCAGCGGUCCUGUUCCCCCUCGGUGGACGCACACACUUCCACAAUAGCUGUUUGUACUGGAGUGGGAAAAGAAGGCAGUGAAGAGCGUGCCACCGUCAAGGCGGCAUGCAGGGCUCAGACUAAGCAGUUAGGCACAGAUAUGGGUUAAAUACAGAAAACUUCCAAGCCAGUAGGUAGGAGACUGCGCCAGGUCUCCUGAGCAACUCCUCCUCACAUCUCCCAACCAUUCUCAGGCCCACCCCCCAAAAAAAUACAAAACACAUAAUGACCCUGAUAGGGGCCUCUUGAAUCUUGUCUUCUGCAUUUGUGGCAUUUGUUCCAUUUUGUCGCAGCCCAUGCCAUUAUCAGCUGGGAAAACUUCUGAACCCCACUCUUGAUGCUAGGUUCCCAUGAGGCAGGUGCUAUUAGAAAUAGUUUACAGACAAGGAAAAUAAGACCCCAGAAAGGUUAGUGAUUUCUGUAAGGUCAUAUGCUAUUAAGUAACAAAGCUGGGAGGCAAAGCCAGGUCAGACUUCCAAACCCAUGCUUUCUUCCACUUUCAUCCUUCUAAAUAUCUCCUUAAAAGGAAGCUAUGAAUUUGGCAAGUAGUGGACAUAAAGAGAUGCUCUUAGGAUGCAAUAUGACGUAAGAUCAUUUGAAACACCAAAAACAUGGCUAAUAUUAGUAACAAAUCAGCCAUGCUCAUUCUUUGGAUCAGGUAAUUUUAGUAUCUGAGUUUGAUGUCUGUCAUAUAAUGGAAAUAAGACCUUAGUACCCCUGUGACAUACCACACACCCAAUCAAGAACAGGUGGGAUGCUGGUCAUGCACAUAUACUGUUUGGCCCAAGGCAUAUAGUUUUGGGAACAAUCUAAGGUCCUUCAGGUGAAAAUGGAUCACACAGAGAAUCUUAAACAUAAUUACAUACAGCAAUUUUAAACCCCAGUAGAGUCACUUGAUGCAAUCAGAAGUACCCAUUUGUGAUCUUGGUGGUAGAACACCACACAUACGUAAUUUAUCAGAUUUAGAAGACUUCGAGAUACAAUGUUCAGGGGCUAUAUAUUGGUGAAUUGGUAAUUAGUGAAAUCUCUCCAAAGUUCCAGGGCUUCCUUUAGAGGAGUUACUGACUUACUAGAGUCAGUUUUAAACUUUUUUUUGGCGGGGGGGAUGGAGUUUUGCUCUUGUUGCCCAGGCUGGAGUGCAAUGGUACAAUCUCGGCUCACCGUAACCUCUGCCUCCUGGGUUCAAGCGUUUCUCCUGCCUCAGCCUCCUGAGUAGCUGGGACUACAGGCAUGUGCCACCACACCUGGCUAAUUUUGUAUUUUUAGUAGAGACAGGGUUUCUGCAUGGUGGUCAGGCUGGUCUGAAACUCCUGACCUCUGGUGAUCCACCCGCCUCAGCCUCCCAAAGUGCUGGGAUUACAGGCAUGAGCCACUGCACCCAGCAUUUAAAAAAAAAAAAAAAAGAGCAACUGGUACCACUGCGGGGAGAGGAACCAGGAGUACUUUCUGUGCCUGUGACAGUGGGCAGAGGAAGACCUCCAUGAGGUGCUUUCUGUAAGACAGGUAGAAUGGGGUGGGGUAGCUCAUCGAUGGACCUGAUCUUUGACUUAAAAAGGCAAGGGAAAAAGAUGUAAGAACAGAAAAAGGUGCAGCCCACUCUCCCUCUUACCUAGAAUGGGUCUGUGGCAGGGCUCUGCUCUCUAGUGACUCACAGCCAACAAGACUCAGCUCAGAUGGCAUUCUUCAUCUAACACUUGAAAAAUUCUUAGGUCAGGCGUGAUGUGGGUCACAUCUGUAAUUCUAGCACUUUGGGAGACUGAAGUGGGUGGAUCACUUGGCCCAGUUCGAGACCAGCCUGGACAACAUGGUGAGCCCCUGCAAAAAAUACAAAAAAAGUAGCCGGGUAUGGUGGCAUGCACCUGUAGCCCCAGCUACUUGAGA